UAUCUUUUUCCAGAGCCGCGGU
rnacentral:miRNA from 1 species